rnacentral:sRNA from 1 species
GCCGGGUGCAAUGGCUCACGCCUGUAAUCCAAACACUUUGGAGGCCAAGGCAGACGGAUCACCUGAGGUCGGGAGUUCAAGACCAGCCUGACCAACAUGGUGAAACCCUGUCUGUUUAUUUAAAAAAAAAAAAAAAGGUGGGUUUCACCAUGUUGGUCAGGCUGGUCUUGAACUCCCGACAUCAGGUGAUCCGCCCGCCUU